UGAUCUUCAAGGAGUCAUCCCCCAGCCACCCAACUCGUUGCCACGAAGACAAUGUGGUAGUGGCUGUGGAUAGUACCACAAACAGGGUUCUCCAUUUUCAGAAGACCCAGGGUCUCCGGCGUUUUGCAUUUCCUCUGAGCCUGUUUCAGGGCAGUAGUGAUGGAGUGGAGGUUCGAUAUGAUUUACUGGAUUGUCAUAUCAGCAUCUGUUCUCCUCAGGUGGCACAACUCUUUACAGACAACUUUGACUACCAAACUCGAGAUGACUUUGUGCGAGGUCUCUUAGUGAAUGAGGAGGUGAGAAAAGUCUUCCAAUGCCUCUUUAGGAGAGAGGAGAAGGCUAUGAUUGUAUCUCAUGCUGGUAACUUUUGAUCUUUUUUGUAUUUUAUUGAGGCUUAGGAGGGAGGAAAAGCAGGGGGCAGGAGGAACAGUACACAAAGAAGAAUCUUUGUGGCAGUGAGAGGCAGAGGGGAACUUAAAAGGAUUAGAAAAGUUGUACUUGGGGGCAUUCUUCCUGUCUUUCUUGCUUAGGUGACCUCCCUUUCCUUCUCAUUCAGAUCCUAGGGAACCAGAUCCACAUGCACGUAACAGCUAAGGAAUAUGGUGCCCGUGUCUCCAACCUACACAUGUACUCAGCUGUCUGUGCUGACGUCAUCCGCCGAUGGGUCUACCCU
rnacentral:sRNA from 1 species